AUGAAUCUAGACGAACUGUGUAGACUAUAUCCAAGAGGACAUCCUAGACUAGAAAAUGAAUUAAAUCAGUUAAACCGAGGACCCGUAGCAGUGGAAGAUGUUUCAUCUCCAAACCAACCCUCCACAUCAAAGGCAGACGAUGAAUAUAAAAACUCACCACCUGAUGAAGUGAGACGUUCUGCACUUAAUGGUGAAGCACAAGAAAUUACCAUUCGGCCAAGAAAUGAUACUGAAAAAUUUGACCUGCUUCGUUUUUACAGCGCCUUAAAAUCAAAAGUAAUUGCAAUUCUAAUGGAGAACAAAAAUCGUUUUGGCAACAUUAAGUUUUAUCUAAAUACUCGUGUACGAAUGGUUCGACAGAGAGAUGGGGGUGAAGAAGAAUCUACUGUUCCUCAUUUUAGAAGUACUACGUUUGAAGUACUCGACAGUGAGAAUCUAGAUCAUUUUCUUUACCAAGCAUUUCAACAAAUGCAAAAUGCUAUGGAAGAAUUCAUACAUCGCGGCUCAAAUUGGAGAAUGGAAAGUGUGUUAGGUUUGGAGAUAAAAGCAGUACCUUACCAACCUCUUACAGCUGCGAAAUACAGUCCCCUUCCCGCUGGAAUUCAACACCUUAGAGGUAUUAUCAACAUCCAUAACGAUGAUGAAAAGUGUUUCCUGUGGUGUGUUUUGGCUGUGUUACAUCCACAAAAUCGUAACCCACAACGAGUCAGUCAUUACCUUUCAUUUGAAAAUGAACUCAAUAUGAAUGGAACAGGGUUGGGGUAA
rnacentral:sRNA from 1 species